GUAGGUGAACCUGCGGAAGGAUCAUUAUUGAAUGAACAUGGAGUCGGUUGUCGCUGGCCCCUUUACCGGGGCAUGUGCACGCCUUCUCUAUUCAUCCACACACACCUGUGAACUUGUGAGACGGAUAGUAGUCCCCUAGGGGGCGAGGUCCGUCUGCUAAUACAUAAACUCUAAUAAUAUAAAUUCGAAUGUCAUUUGAUGUAACGCAUCUAUAAACUAAGUUUCAACAACGGAUCUCUUGGCUCUCGCA
rnacentral:misc_RNA from 1 species